GUCGUACUACCGAUUAAUGAUUUAGUGAGGUCUUCGGACCGGUGGCGGCAAUGUCUUCUUAGCAUUGCCGAUUGUGCUGGGAAGAUGACCAAACUUGAUCAUUUAGAGGAAGUAAAAGUCGUAACAAGGUUUCCGUAGGUGAACCUGCGGAAGGAUCAUUA
rnacentral:rRNA from 1 species